GUUUUUAUAGUUGAAUUACAACAAUGGUUUUUCAGAUUGUUAGUCUUGGUUAAAGUCCGAGUAAAAAUU
rnacentral:tRNA from 1 species